AAUUUGUUCUCAUUUCAGAUUUCAGAAAUUAAAAAGAAUUAUUCUUCAAAUAUUAUUUUUUUUUCAAAUUUCAAAUAUUGAAAAAUUUCAAGAAGUAAUCUUUAAUUGCACAGUAUGGCGCAUUAGAUUUGUAAAAUCUUUGAUCACAUUUAUUUAUUUGUUAUGCCGAAUCUAACAGUGUAUUUAGAUUUUUAAUUUUGGGUCCAGUUUUCAAAUUGGUCUACAUUAAGGUCCAAAGGGUCAAAAAUUAAACUUUGUUUGAUUUUAGCAAAAAUUGAAUAUAUGAGGUUCUAUGAUAUGCUGAAUCUAACCAUGUAUUUAGAUUUUUUAUUUGUGGGCCCCGCUAUCAAAUUGGUUCAUAUUGAGGUCAAAAGGGUCCAAAAUUAAACUUUGUUUGAUUUCAUCAAAAAUUGAAUUAUUGGGGUUCUUUGAUAUGCCAAAUCUAACCGUGUUUUUAGAUUUUUAAUUUGGGUCCCAUUUUUUAAAUUGGUCUUCAUUGAGGUCCAAAGGGUCCAAAAUUAAACUUAGUUUGAUUUUAACAAAAAUUGAAUUCUUGGGGUUCUUUGAUAUGCUGAAUCUAAACAUGUGUUUAGAUUUUUGAUUAUGGGCCCAGUUUUCAAGUUGGUCCAAGUUGGGGUCCAAAAUUAAACUUUUUUUGAUUUCAACAAAAAUUGAAUAUAUGGGGUUCUUUGAUAUGCUGAAUCUAACCAUGUAUUUAGAUUUUUUAUUUGUGAACCCGGUUAUCAAAUUGGUUCAUAUUAAGGUCAAAAGGGUCCAAAAUUAAACUUUGUUUGAUUUCAUCAAAAAUUGAAUUAUUGGGGUUCUUUGAUAUUCCAAAUCUAACCGUGUAUUUAGAUUUUUAAUUUUGGGUCCUGUUUUUUAAAUUGGUCUACAUUUAGGUCCAAAGGGUCCAAAAUUAAACUUAGUUUGAUUUUAACAAAAAUUGAUUUCUUGGGGUUCUUUGAUAUGCUGAAUCUAAACAUGUGUUUAGAUUUUUGAUUAUGGGCCCAGUUUUCAAGUUGGUCCAAGAUAGGGUCCAGUAUUUAAACUUUGUUUGAUUUCAACAAAAAUUGAAUAUAUGGGGUUCUUUGAUAUGCUGAAUCUAAACAUGUAUUUAGAUUUUUGAUUAUGGGCCCAGUUUUCAAGUUGGUCCAAAUUGGGGUCCAAAAUUAAACUUUGUUUGAUUUCAACAAAAAAUGAAUAUAUGAGGUUCUAUGAUAUGCUGAAUCUAACCAUGUAUUUAGAUUUUUUAUUUGUGGGCCCCGCUAUCAAAUUGGUUCAUAUUGAGGUCAAAAGGGUCCAAAGUUAAACUUUGUUUGAUUUCAUCAAAAAUUGAAUUAUUGGGGUUCUUUGAUAUUUCAAAUCUAACCGUGU